GAUGAACGCUGGCGGCGUGCCUAAAACAUGCAAGUCGAGCGGUAAGGCCCCUUCGGGGGUACACGAGCGGCGGACGGGUGAGUAACACGUGGGAAUCUACCCCAAACUGAGGGAUAAGCACCGGAAACGGUGUCUAAUACCGCAUAUGGUCUUCGGAUUAAAGCUUCGGCGGUUUGGGAAGAGCCCGCGCAAGAUUAGCUAGUUGGUGAGGUAAAGGCUUACCAAGGCGACGAUCUUUAGCUGGUUUGAGAGGAUGAUCAGCCACACUGGAACUGAGACACGGUCCAGACUCCUACGGGAGGCAGCAGUUAGGAAUUUUCCACAAUGGGCGAAAGCCUGAUGGAGCAACGCCGCGUGCAGGAUGAAUGCCUUAGGGUUGUAAACUGCUUUUAUGUGCGAAGAAUAUGACGGUAACACAUGAAUAAGGAUCGGCUAACUCCGUGCCAGCAGCCGCCGUAAUAC
rnacentral:rRNA from 1 species